rnacentral:rRNA from 1 species
GUCUACGGCCAUACCAUCCUGAACGCGCCUGAUCUCGGAAGCUAAGCAGGGUUGGGCCUGGUUGGUACUUGGAUGGGAGAACUUCCGGAGAAGGCUGGAGAAGGGCACC